UUAGUUUUCCUUAUUUUCCUAAUUUUAGUUCUCUACGGUCUUCUAUUUUUAUUUUUGUUGUUCUUAUUUUGUAUAGGUCCUUUGGGUCCUGAUGAAAGUCACUGUCGGUGGCAGGGAAUUCGUCGCCGGAUGCGUCCUAUAUGUGAUGGGUGUGUUCCCAUCCAGUCGUUGGUGGGGUUGAUGUGCCCGUCGAUUUGGCGAUCCGCGGGCCAAGCUCAUCUUCUCAGUGGCGGACUGAUGUUCUAUGGUAGUGGCAGUCAUUGUAUGUGGUGGUGCGGUUGCUGAUGUACAGGAGGCGUCCAUGGUGUUAGUUCUCCAUCGUCCAUGCUUAUCUUCUAUAUGCUCUAGCAGCCAGGUGGCUCAAGAAAUAGAAGACGACUCAUGUUCAGCUGGUCCCUCAUCACCGGGAGGACGGGCGAGGAGGUCGAGGCCCACCGGGGUUCAUGAGGAGGUGUACGGGCGGCAAUCACUACAGCCAUCAUGUGCUACUGCAGGCUUUCCUAGCCUCGUCACAUGAUCAACACGGCGAGCAUCGGCAAAGGGCAGUGCCAAACCAAGUACGCGAGGAUUAAACAUGGCGACGACGACUGUGCAUCAUGGGACGCCUAUAGCAUGUGCCUUGCUGAAGUAAACAUGGAGCUCACCCUCUCUACGCCGUGCAUCACAUCUACUUAAUUUGGAGGGUUACACCAGGUGUUUAUAUACUUCGGUCGAUGGUUUCUGUGCCUUGAGGAACAAUCCUAUUAUUGUACUAUGCGUACUGACUAUAUAUGUAUGACGCAUAAAUCCUCACAAGUUGGAACCCAUCACUGCUCCUGCUCGACCAUGACUCCACGCGCAAGGUCUGCCUAGCCACGCGUAGGUCACGCCGCCGGCUGUCGAGCCUCCUGUUCCACCCUGUAGUGUGUUCGAACAGCCGAAGCUGAGUAUGCGAAGAUUCAUCCCCGGCCCAUCCUUGUUCAAUGCAUGGAAGCAAUGACUGCUGCUGGCUUUGAAGCUGGUUGAGGUUGCUGCUUGCCGUUGGUUGUAGGUAGAGGCCUUGUGGUGGUCCAAGAUUCUUACAUAGUGUUGUGCCUGGUUUCUUCUUAAAGGAUUUGUUGUGAAAGCUGGGAAUGUUAAGAGGAAUCUGCUUUGAGAGGUGUCGUAGUAUGAGAGGAAACGAUUUCUUCUAGGCCAGUGGUGUUCCUUUGCGCUAUAGCCAGUGCGCUAUCUCCUAGGUUAUCUCAUAUAAAGCCAUGAACCUAGCAUGAACUCGAAAUAUAAACCAUUGUAUAUGAAGAUGCUAUCUGAGUACGU